CCUACGGGAGGCAGCAGUGGGGAAUUUUGGACAAUGGGCGCAAGCCUGAUCCAGCCAUGCCGCGUGUGGGAAGAAGGCCUUCGGGUUGUAAACCACUUUUGUCAGGGAAGAAACGGCCUUUUCUAAUACAGGGGGCUAAUGACGGUACCUGAAGAAUAAGCACCGGCUAACUACGUGCCAGCAGCCGCGGUAAUACGUAGGGUGCAAGCGUUAAUCGGAAUUACUGGGCGUAAAGCGUGCGCAGGCGGCUUUGCAAGACAGAUGUGAAAUCCCCGGGCUCAACCUGGGAACUGCAUUUGUGACUGCAUGGCUAGAGUACGGUAGAGGGGGAUGGAAUUCCGCGUGUAGCAGUGAAAUGCGUAGAUAUGCGGAGGAACACCGACGGCGAAGGCAAUCCCCUGGACCUGUACUGACGCUCAUGCACGAAAGCGUGGGGAGCAAACAGGAUUAGAUACCCUGGUAGUCCACGCCCUAAACGAUGUCAACUGGUUGUUGGACGGCUUGCUGUUCAGUAACGAAGCUAACGCGUGAAGUUGACCGCCUGGGGAGUACGGCCGCAAGGUUGAAACUCAAAUGAAUUGACGG
rnacentral:rRNA from 1 species